AUACUGAGUGGCAGACGGGUGAGUAUAAUGUGGGAAUCUGCCUUUUGGUUCGGAAUAACACGAGGAAACUUGUGCUAAUACCGGAUAAGCCCUUACGGGGAAAGUUUUAAUGCCAAAAGAUGAGCCCGCACUUGAUUAGCUAGUUGGUAAGGUAAUGGCUUACCAAGGCAACGAUCAAUAGCUGUUCUUAGAGGAAGACCAGCCACAUUGGGACUGAGACACGGCCCAAACUCCUACGGGAGGCAGCAGUGGGGAAUCUUGCACAAUGGGGGAAACCCUGAUGCAGCGAUGCCGCGUGAGUGAAGAAGGCCCUUGGGUUGUAAAACUCUUUCGUCGGGGAAGAAAAUGACUGUACCCGAAUAAGAAGGUCCGGCUAACUUCGUGCCAGCAGCCGCGGUAAUACGAAGGGACCUAGCGUAGUUCGGAAUUACUGGGCUUAAAGAGUUCGUAGGUGGUUAAAAAAGUUGAUGGUGAAAUCCCAAGGCUCAACCUUGGAACUGCCAUCAAAACUUUUUAGCUAGAGUGUGAUAGAGGAAAGUGGAAUUUCUAGUGUAGAGGUGAAAUUCGUAGAUAUUAGAAAGAACAUCAAAAGCGAAGGCAACUUUCUGGAUCAUUACUGACACUGAGGAACGAAAGCAUGGGUAGCGAAGAGGAUUAGAUACCCUCGUAGUCCAUGCCGUAAACGAUGUGUGCUAGACGUUGGAAACUUAGUUUUCAGUGUCGCAGCGAAAGCAUUAAGCACACCGCCUGGGGAGUACGACCGNCAGGUUAAAACUCAAAUGAAUUGACGGGGACCCGCACAAGUAGUGGAGCA
rnacentral:rRNA from 1 species